GGAUCCAGACUUUGAUCCUGGCUCAGGAUGAACGCUAGCUACAGGCCUAACACAUGCAAGUCGAGGGGAAACGGCAGCUUAGCUUGCUAAGCUGGACGUCGACCGGCGCACGGGUGAGUAACGCGUAUCCAACCUGCCCCACGGUGAGGGAUAACCCGCGGAAACGCGGCCUAAUACCUCAUGGUCUCCGAGCUUGACAUCAACCUUGGAGUAAAGAUUCAUUGCCGUGGGAUGGGGAUGCGUCUGAUUAGCUUGUUGGCGGGGCAACGGCCCACCAAGGCAACGAUCAGUAGGGGUUCUGAGAGGAAAGCCCCCCACAUUGGAACUGAGACACGGUCCAAACUCCUACGGGAGGCAGCAGUGAGGAAUAUUGGUCAAUGGGCGAGAGCCUGAACCAGCCAAGUAGCGUGCAGGAAGACGGCCCUAUGGGUUGUAAACUGCUUUUAUGCGGGGAUAAAGCGGGCGACGUGUCGCCCUUUGCAGGUACCGCAUGAAUAAGGACCGGCUAAUUCCGUGCCAGCAGCCGCGGUAAUACGGAAGGUCCGGGCGUUAUCCGGAUUUAUUGGGUUUAAAGGGAGCGCAGGCCGGGUAUUAAGCGUGUUGUGAAAUGUAGGCGCCCAACGUCUGCACCGCAGCGCGAACCGGUGCCCUUGAGUACGCACGACGUUGGCGGAAUUCGCCGUGUAGCGGUGAAAUGCUUAGAUAUGGCGAAGAACUCCGAUUGCGAAGGCAGCUGACGGGAGCGCUACUGACGCUCAUGCUCGAAAGCGCGGGUACCGAACAGGAUUAGAUACCCUGGUAGUCCGCGCGGUAAACGAUGGAUGCCCGCUAUUUGCGCAUUAGCGCAAGUGGCCAAGUGAAAACGUUAAGCAUCCCACCUGGGGAGUACGCCGGCAACGGUGCAACUCAAAGGAAUUGACGG
rnacentral:rRNA from 1 species